AUUCUACACUAAGUCGAAGAAGCAACUCUUCUUGAAAUUUGGAAAAACUGAAGAUCUCAACCUUGAGCAAAUUAGUCCGUUUAUUCAAAUUGAUAUAAAAUGCGACGAUAAUAGAAUUUUAACAAAAGCAAUUGAGUCAAUUGUAAGCCAUCGGAGAGGGAUAUGCAGGGUAUAAAAGAAAUCGCAUUUCUUGCAGACUGCAUCAGAGCAAUCACAACUGAGUGUUCACCAAGUUAAACAGUAAAUCUACCAAAAUGUUCAAGCUUGCAAGCCUAGUUCUCCUCGUUUUGGCUCUCAUUGCUGCAGUGGCUGUUGCUGAUCCACGUCCCCAGGUUCUCUAUCCAGGAUUGGGAUACUCAUAUGGAUCCUAUGUUCCAGCUGUAUCUGCUUAUUCCUCACCAUAUUAUUUGCGUUGAGAUUCGUUAUGCAUAUAAUGGUUAACAAUCUUUGCACAAUCUAGGCCGAAUGAUUUCGAUUCAACGGAAACUUAUGACAUUGUUAAUUUAAAACCUCUAAAAAUAUAAUUCUAACAUUUUUGGGACGAAAAUAAAAGUGUUU